GGGAUAACACUUGGAAACAGGUGCUAAUACCGUAUAACACUAUUUUCCGCAUGGAAGAAAGUUGAAAGGCGCUUUUGCGUCACUGAUGGAUGGACCCGCGGUGCAUUAGCUAGUUGGUGAGGUAACGGCUCACCAAGGCCACGAUGCAUAGCCGACCUGAGAGGGUGAUCGGCCACACUGGGACUGAGACACGGCCCAGACUCCUACGGGAGGCAGCAGUAGGGAAUCUUCGGCAAUGGACGAAAGUCUGACCGAGCAACGCCGCGUGAGUGAAGAAGGUUUUCGGAUCGUAAAACUCUGUUGUUAGAGAAGAACAAGGAUGAGAGUAGAACGUUCAUCCCUUGACGGUAUCUAACCAGAAAGCCACGGCUAACUACGUGCCAGCAGCCGCGGUAAUACGUAGGUGGCAAGCGUUGUCCGGAUUUAUUGGGCGUAAAGCGAGCGCAGGCGGUUUCUUAAGUCUGAUGUGAAAGCCCCCGGCUCAACCGGGGAGGGUCAUUGGAAACUGGGAGACUUGAGUGCAGAAGAGGAGAGUGGAAUUCCAUGUGUAGCGGUGAAAUGCGUAGAUAUAUGGAGGAACACCAGUGGCGAAGGCGGCUCUCUGGUCUGUAACUGACGCUGAGGCUCGAAAGCGUGGGGAGCGAACAGGAUUAGAUACCCUGGUAGUCCACGCCGUAAACGAUGAGUGAUAAGUGUUGGAGGGUUUCCGCCCUUCAGUGCUACAGCA
rnacentral:rRNA from 1 species